GCCCGGGUGGUGGAAUCGGUAGACACAAGGGAUUUAAAAUCCCUCGGCGUUCGCGCUGUGCGGGUUCAAGUCCCGCCCCGGGCACCA
rnacentral:tRNA from 1 species